rnacentral:siRNA from 1 species
UUUGAGGAGUGCGGCUGUA